ACUGACCAUGUUGAGCCAGUGAGCUGUCUUGGUCAGCACCCAGGUGUAUCCAUCAACACGGGCACGUAAUAUCAAAAUGCAGAUAUGCAUUCCAGGAUGGUGACUGAAGCUCAUCUUUGUAAACACCUAUAUGCCUAGAAUGGACUCCAAAACAGAUUAUUAAAGUUUAACCAGUAUAAUCUUGAAUAUGGACAAAAAGUAUACACUUGGAACACAAACAAAAACAGAUGAGUCCAUGCCAAGCUAAAGAUUAAUGCAGAAGAUAAAAGAGAACUGGAGAAGAAUGAAUUGAUGUUAACAUACUCAACAUUAAAUUUGGCUUGAAUCUAAAUAUGUCUUUUGUUGUGAUUGCUUCAAGAGCAAAUAGGAUCAGGAAAUUUAAAGUGAAGGAUAACCAGAAAGUGGAUCAUUCAACAGAUGAAAAGAAAAUAAGCCUUUGAGAGAAAUUAUGUCAAAUGCAUGAAUUGAAUAUUUAAAUUGCACGUAAUUUUUGUUUCACCAACGUUUACAAUAUAUGUGAAAAAAUGUUCAAAACGUGUUUAACCAUGGUUUGACACAUUUUUGUAUGGUAUUUAUACAUUUACAAUAUGAGCAGUGCAAAUAAUAAACCCAUUAAACAUGUUAUGAGAAACAUAUGUUACACACACGUUGCACGUACGUUAUUCAUAUGUGAAACGUAUGAGUAAUGUACGUGUGCAAUAUACGUGUAACGUAUGGUGGGCAAUACGUACAUUUAACAUGCGUGACACGCAUGAUAUUCACACGUGUGAAAACAUACGUAUAACGUACGUGGUAUUUUUUUCAUGGAAAACGUACGUGAAGUCACGUAUGUGUCACAUACGUUUAACAUACGUGAAACGUACGUGGCACAAUUAGCUG